rnacentral:rRNA from 1 species
AUGGCCGACAUGCUAGCUACCCUAGUGGAGUGGGCCAAGCUGGAUGGUCAAAUUAGCGGGGUCAUUCCACACCUGGUAGAAGAUGGUCUAUCCAUUCUACAAUAUGCAGAUGACACGAUUCUAUUUAUGGAUCAUGAUCUAGAUAAAGCAAGAAAUCUCAAGCUGCUCUUAUGUGCCUUUGAGGAACUUUCUGGUCUCAAAAUUAAUUUUCAUAAGAGUGAACUUUUUGCUUUGGAGAUGCUGCAGAAUCUGCACCCGAGUACGCCGACAUUUUUGGAUGCCAGCUCGGGCAGUUUCCGAUUAGGUAUCUGGGUAUCCCCAUACACUAUCGGCGUUUAA